rnacentral:rRNA from 1 species
UACGUAGGGGGCGAGCGUUGUCCGGAUUUACUGGGCGUAAAGCGCUUGUAGGCGGUCCACCAAGUUUGGGGUGACAGUUGCCGACUUAAUCGGCAAAGUGCCUCAAAGACUGGCGGACUUGAGGGCCACAGAGGGACAUGGAACUCCAGGUGUAGUGGUGAAAUGCGUAGAUAUCUGGAGGAACACCAGAGGCGAAGGCGGUUACCUGGACAGUUACUGACGCUCAGGCACGAAAGCGUGGGGAGCAAGAGGG